AAGCAUAUCAUUUACCUCGCAAAUUCAAGUCACAACAUCAAAGAAUGGCACUAUUAAGUUCAAUCAACUUCAAGUUUCCUUCCAUUUUUGCCUCCAAAGAGGACAUCUCACUGAACCUAGUUCUUGCAAAUACACCAUUACAAGAACGUUAACAUGGACAAAUCACAUUUGAUUCAAUUAAUUUACAACCGUGGUGGCAGGGAAAAAAAAUUCCAGUGAUGAUUUGCACACAUUCGAAUCUAUGAAGCAAAUAGUCAUAUGAAAAAAGAAUGAUCAUGAAGAACACGAAUGUAGCUGCAUAUUCCAUCAUAUCACUGUUGAGAAUGCAGGGCAGGAGGAAGAGGUUCUGUUACUUUUAGUGACCCUCCAAGCUCGAGAGGUACAAGAGGAAUGAGUGAAUGCAGAACAUCUGUUAUCAGCGGCCUAUAACUCGGUUCCUGUUGUACGCAUAAUACUGCCACCGCAGCUACCUGCUCAAUGAUAAUUUAUAAUUCAACUAGUAAAAAUAAGCACAAAAAUGACAGUGUUCUGAUACGAUGUAUGUAAUGUACCUGAUAUAAGUGCUUUAAAUCCAUAGUAUCCUUAAUAACAGGGUCCACAAUAUGAGGAAGCUUUGAUCUGUCAGUAAGCUGAGGCAUGGCCUACAUGUCAAAAAUGGGAGCACAGUUAAGUUCCACAAGCCUGGAAUCCUCAUAGGGAUGACCUCAGAGGUGACAGCUACACUUGUGUUAAAGGAAAAUUACCCAUGUUACCAUAGACAGACAUUGAUCUUCUGAAAUCAUUUCCACUGGCUGUCUUCCCAUGAGUAGCUCCAGAAGAACAACUCCAAAAGCAUAGACAUCACUCUUCUCUGUUAGCUC
rnacentral:misc_RNA from 1 species